rnacentral:rRNA from 1 species
AGUGAACGCUGGCGGUAGGCCUAACACAUGCAAGUCGAACGGCAGCACAGUAAGAGCUUGCUCUUACGGGUGGCGAGUGGCGGACGGGUGAGGAAUACAUCGGAAUCUACUUUUUCGUGGGGGAUAACGUAGGGAAACUUACGCUAAUACCGCAUACGACCUACGGGUGAAAGCAGGGGAUCUUCGGACCUUGCGCGAUUGAAUGAGCCGAUGUCGGAUUAGCUAGUUGGCGGGGUAAAGGCCCACCAAGGCGACGAUCCGUAGCUGGUCUGAGAGGAUGAUCAGCCACACUGGAACUGGGACACGGUCCAGACUCCUACGGGAGGCAGCAGUGGGGAAUAUUGGACAAUGGGCGCAAGCCUGAUCCAGCCAUACCGCGUGGGUGAAGAAUGCCUUCGGGUUGUAAAGCCCUUUUGUUGGGAAAGAAAAGCAGCAGGUUAAUACCCCGCUGUUCUGACGGUACCCAAAGAAUAAGCACCGGCUAACUUCGUG